rnacentral:rRNA from 1 species
GGGUUACGUGUAGCCUGAUGAGAGACUGUAUGAAAAAGGAACGGCUAACUCCGUGCCAGCAGCCGCGGUAAUACGGAGGAUUCGAGCGUUAUCCGGAAUUAUUGGGUUUAAAGGGUGCGUAGGCGGAUAAUUAAGUCAGCGGUGAAAUUUUGCGGCUUAACUGUCACAUUGCCGUUGAAACUGUUUAUCUAGAAUUAGGUCGCAGUGUGCGGAAUGUGUGGUGUAGCGGUGAAAUGCUUACAUAUGCCACAGAACACCAAUUGCGAAGGCAGCACACUAAGUCUCUACUGACGCUGAAGCACGAAAGCGUGGGGAUCAAACAGGAUUAGAUACCCUGGUAGUCCACACUGUAAACGAUGAUAACUAGCUGCUGGCGAUACAUUGUCAGUGGGCAAGAGAAAGCAUUAAGUUAUCCACCUGGGGAGUACGACCGCAAGGAUG